rnacentral:rRNA from 1 species
UAGGGAAUCUUCCACAAUGGACGAAAGUCUGAUGGAGCAACGCCGCGUGAGUGAAGAAGGUUUUCGGAUCGUAAAGCUCUGUUGUUGGUGAAGGAGGAUAGAGGCAGUAACUGGUCUUUAUUUGACGGUAAUCAACCAGAAAGUCACGGCUAACUACGUGCAG